UACGUAGGGUGCAAGCGUUAAUCGGAAUUACUGGGCGUAAAGCGUGCGCAGGCGGCGCCGCAAGUCAGGCGUGAAAUCCCCGGGCUUAACCUGGGAACUGCGCUUGUAACUGGCAAGCUAGAGUGUGGCAGAGGGGGGUGGAAUUCCACGUGUAGCAGUGAAAUGCGUAGAGAUGUGGAGGAACACCGAUGGCGAAGGCAGCCCCCUGGGCUAACACUGACGCUCAUGCACGAAAGCGUGGGGAGCAAACAGG
rnacentral:rRNA from 1 species